rnacentral:lncRNA from 1 species
GGGUGUACUCUCAUUAUUGUGAUGGAUUUGGUCCACCCAAGUGAUCCUUCUUUAUCCUGCCCUUUCAAUGUGGAAGAUAAUAACAAGCAUAGACAGAGAGAGAGAGAGAGAGAGAGAGAGAGAGAGAGAGAACAUGAAGAGUAAACAUGAAGAAAACAUCACAUUCCAUGUCAAAAUCCAUGGUGCUGUUCACAUGGGACUCUGAAAAGAAGUCCCUCUAAAGUUGGCACUCAAAUUGAGCAAACCUCACCGAACAAACACUACCAUCUUUUGCUGCCUCCGUCCGCCGAUAUCGAUGCUAAUAACAGCAACUCUUCCCGCUACUGCUCGAGAGCUCAUCUUCUUCUUCUUCUUCUUCUUGCUACGGUCCCCAGCACUAUCUCACCCCAUGUUCGCCACUUUCUCCGGCACGCCGCGACGCUUUGCAUCCGCUGCUGACACCGCAUCGGGCGAUCGGGAAUCUGUUCGACAUGUUGCGAGCACGCCAUUAAUUACCGCAAACGCUUUAUGCGCGAUCCGCACAGAACACGAACACAACGCAUGGCUUUCCAGAUUGCAGAAUGAUUGAGCUCUCGCUCCGAAAGCAUCAUGUGUGGUCUCAGAAUGUGAGCGGGCAAGAGCUCAAGCGAUUAAGUCGCACCCGUCUCUUCCUUGGACCGGUCACCUACCAAACAUAAGUGUGAGAUCCCUGCGCUCAUCGAGAUCUCCGUCGAGAGAACAUGCAUGGCUGUCCAAAGCGAAAGAAUACAGUGACCUAAGUCGAAUCAUCGUUAGCAGAUUUUGUACCUUUGAUGCUCUUAUCCUAAGCCGAAGAAUAGUUCAAAGGCGCCGAGCGCAGUGCAUCACACGGCAGUGCUCUACACCCUGGACUGUCCUACUCCGAGCCCAUCCCUGUUGCCCUUUAUCCCUCCCCUUCGGACCUAUCUCUCACCUCACCUAAGCAUCCGAAUGUCCCCACCACCCCCCACCACCUUCCCUUGUCCCAACCCCACAGGUCACCCGCAUGCAUAUACAGGCUUGGCUCCUUCUCCUUGUUCGGAGCGGUGAGAGCUACAUGGAGCCUUGGAACACAGCUUCUGGAUGUGAAUCUUUUCAAUGCUUGGUGAUGCGCUUACCGACGAAGCAUCCACUGCUCCUCUUAUCCUCCCGUGUAGUUGUGGUCCGAUUAGCGGUGUGAAGCGAGCAUGCAUCGUGGCGAACUGUUGGGAGUGGGGGACGAGAUCAUGGGGACAUUUGGAACAAAAUCCAAACGAAAGCACCGGAGGCCGAGAUGCUCAGGCUCAGAGACAGCAGGCGUUCGGCCUCGUGCAUGGAUGGAUUCGCUGUGGAUGGAUGGGCGGUAGUCAUUUUGGAUGGAAGCGACAUUUGAC